rnacentral:rRNA from 1 species
AUUGAACGCUGGCGGCAUGCCUUACACAUGCAAGUCGAACGGCAGCACGGGAGCAAUCCUGGUGGCGAGUGGCGAACGGGUGAGUAAUAUAUCGGAACGUGCCCAGUCGUGGGGGAUAACGUAGCGAAAGUUACGCUAAUACCGCAUACGAUCUAUGGAUGAAAGCGGGGGAGUCGCAAGACCUCGCGCGAUUGGAGCGGCCGAUAUCAGAUUAGGUAGUUGGUGGGGUAAAGGCUCACCAAGCCGACGAUCUGUAGCUGGUCUGAGAGGACGACCAGCCACACUGGGACUGAGACACGGCCCAGACUCCUACGGGAGGCAGCAGUGGGGAAUUUUGGACAAUGGGCGCAAGCCUGACCGAGCAACGCCGCGUGGAGGACGACGGCCUUCGGUUGUAACUACCUUUUGUCGGGGACGGAGUUGUGACUGUACCCCGCCGAAUCAGGCGUCGGCGUAACUCUGUGCCAGCAG